rnacentral:rRNA from 1 species
AUCUGUGGCCAUGCCACCCUGAAUGUGCCCUAUCUUGUCUGAUCUUGGAAGCUAAGCAGGGUUGGGCCUGGUUAGUACUUGGAUGGGAAACCACCUGGAAAUACCAGGUGCUGUAGGCA